rnacentral:rRNA from 1 species
AUACGGAGGGUGCAAGCGUUGUUCGGAAUUAUUGGGCGUAAAGCGCGUGUAGGCGGUUCGUUAAGUCUGAUGUGAAAGCCCGGGGCUCAACCCCGGAAGUGCAUUGGAUACUGGCGGACUUGAGUACGGGAGAGGGAAGUGGAAUUCCGAGUGUAGGGGUGAAAUCCGUAGAUAUUCGGAGGAACACCGGUGGCGAAGGCGGCUUCCUGGACCGAUACUGACGCUGAGACGCGAAAGCGUGGGGAGCAAACAGGAUUAGAUACCCUGGUAGUCCACGCCGUAAACGAUGGGUACUAGGUGUCGCGGGUAUUGACCCCUGCGGUGCCGAAGCUAACGCAUUAAGUACCCCGCCUGGGGAGUACGGCCGCAAGGCUAAA